AAUGAUGAGCCUGAUUAAAGGACUAUCGUGAUAGGAUAAAACAUGUGGUUAAACUAACUACCUUCAUUA
rnacentral:tRNA from 1 species